UCUACAAUCCUUAAGUUGCACAUAAGGUUUUCUAAGCUGUUGGGGAGCUUUUUGAUCCCUUUCGUGGCUCUGGGAUGUGCUUACAGUGGUGUAUCAUUAUCUCUGUUGCCACAUUCAGCCUGCAAACUUGCUUAAUUGAAACAAAAGUACCACCAGGGCUGCAAACUUCCUGAGCACGUGCAGAACAAGGAGGUAGUGAAGGAGAAGGGUGACAAGUUAUAAGUUCAAACAGUUGCUUGCAAGUGUGAGUUUGCUGUCUUCUCCUUGCUCAUCACCUCUCUCUUUGCAGCCAGGACUGUACUAGGGUCUGCUUAUAAAACAGUUAGCAUCUUCUGCUUUCCUGUCUUUAUGCUUUAUAAUGCCUUUAUCAGCCAGAAAGCAGUUAAAGCAUCGUGUCUUGUGUUUUUUUUUUUUUUUUUUUCCUUUUCCCUCAUGUUAAAUGCAUCCAAUAUAAAGUAUGCACAGAUUAUUACUAAGUUAUUGCUCAUUUCUGGGAAAACACCUACAGAUUAAUGCAGGUGGGAGGUCUUCACUAGAGGAUCUGAGUUUCCAGUAGAUAAAAGAUAGGGGAAAGGAGGUUGAUGGACCUACAUGGAAAAACAUAUGACUAGGAACAGCACAGGGGUUGUCAGCACAAACUGCUGGAAGAUAUUACCCUUUUGCUUGCAUGUGUAAAGUAUUCGCUGUUGAAGCCUACAGGUUUGGAAGAAGGAGCACAAUCCCAUACAGCAUUUGGUCUCUCACACCUGAGUUCAGAGUGCAGAACAGGAGAACUUAGUCUGGUACCUGACAGGGCAGGAGAGACAUUCACAAACUGGGCCGGCAGCCGAGCAUGCUGCUCGCCAGAAAUGCAUACCCAGAGCUCGGUAGCUUCUGUCUCUUUCUUACUCCCAUCACCCUGCUUCUCUGCCAGCUAGUGAGCGUGGCAGGGAAGGAAUAAUCUGUCAAAUGUAAAACUGGUAUGAUGCAGGGUCUUAACUUUGUUUAAAGUUGACAGAAGAUAUGGCUUGAAUGGGAUUAAGAGGCUUUCCUAAAGGCCUUUGGAAUUCCAAAAUUGCAUUGUCACUUUAUUUUUUCUUCCAAAUUUAGGUGGUAUGUGCAGGGGUGAAUAUACUUGCCCUAAAUUAACCGUAGCUCUUUGGGAGCAGCUGACAAGUGUAGGCCACUCUAAAUGGCAGGGUGAGGCCAGGCACUUCAUUCCUUGAAGCCACUGCAGUUACUGACAUCUCUCAUUUGUCUUCAAGGUUCAAAAGCCAACUGAGUUGCUUGCCUAAAUGCUCUAAUUCCCCCCCUGCCCCCAUGUUAUGCUCACCAACUUUACAUGUUUAGUCAUAAAAAUUACAAUGAUGUAAAAUGCUUCCUGUGAUUUUCAAACUAACGGAUAGUCAGUAGCUCUGGGAAGCCAAUGACACCUGUAGUCAGGGAUGAACAGGGAAUCAAGGGGCUUUUGUUUGUUCUUAACCCCAUUCCCCUCCAUACUCGCUUUAGAUAAAUCUUUAAAAAUUUACUUUGCAAUAUUGCUGUCUGGCUGAGAACAGUGAGAUUCUACCAUUUUGGCAAAGACACAUGUGCCAUUAUUAUCAAAUAAACAUUAAUUUAACAUUCAUCACUGCAUCUGGAGGCAGUUCACCAAUGCUUGCCACCCUCUUUCAGAACAUAACACAAGGCAAAGCUGAGUAUGGAGCAGUGGAGAAUCAUAUGCAAACGAUAGAUUGAUGUCCAAAUAUGCAGAAAAGCAUACCAAUAUUUUAACUACUCAGAUACCCAUUAAAAAAUGUGUUUUGGUGACUUGACCACAGUAACACUGGCAGCCUCUGGGGAGGGUGUGUGGGGUGUGUGUGUAGCACAGAAGUCUUUACUUGCAGCUCUUCUGAAUUGCAGCCCUGUCUGUGGAAUCAGAUUGGUUUCUCUUUGUCAUUUUUUUGUCUUCUACUAAAUAACCUCCUCUUGCGUUCUGUUUUUACACAAGAAAAAUAUUUUUUUAAUUCUUUUUAUAUCUUAGGCUUUCAUAAGGUAAUGGAAGGAAUCCACAAAGCCACUGAACUUGGCUACCAUCCUGUUAAGCUUACAGGGAUCCAUGCAAGGAGACAUUCAACUCAUCUGCCAUCUUUAACUGGUCACCUUGCCCCCAAACAUGACUUGAAGGCAAAGAGCAUCUUCCCUUUCUCCACACAUGACAGCUCAGCCUCAUGUCAAAGACAACUUGCACAACGACAAAAGGAAAAAUGAGAACUUUCUUGGGCAAAGACACCACCCUCUCUUCCUGAAAGGCAUCAGGACCCAUUCUGAGCUUCAACAAUGGAUAUGUCAGCACCUCUUUUCUUACUCUCUCCCCAAACUAACGGUCUUGCAGGAAAAGCAGUAUACUAAGGAGAAAGAACUAACAAUAACAGUGAAAUCCUACAUUUCAAACCUUCCACUUCCUGAGUCAACAACAAAAACUUGUGACCAAAGCUGGAAUAUAUGCCCACUUUACCACAUGUUGUGAAGCCUCAUAGUAGCAAAGAACUGGGAGACUGUCUCAAGAAGAAACCAGACUUUCUGUAGUAUCUGGACAGAACAGUAAAAAUAUUCACAACAAGGAUGGACUACAAAACAAAUCCUACCAAGAUAACCUUGAAAAAAUAUGUUAAAAAUAACUAAAUUACCCUAAAGAAAAAGCAAAAACUACUCACCAUAUUACAAUAAGCUUCCUCUAAACUUUCUGCUUUUCUCAGUUGUGCAGGAGCUUCAGGCUCUGGAAAAAGGAUGCCUCACAAAAACCACUUUAUGACUAUUCUGUCUAAGCUAACACCUCUCUCCAUUACCCACAAAGGACUGAAACAAAUGAGAUCUGACUGUCCCCUGACCUCCUGAUUACUCCUUUUCCACCUUUCAGGUGCAAAGGUGCUAACAAGCAUCCACUUUCCAGGUGGGUUGGAAUUACAAGCCACAGCAACACCCCUAAAAGCUCCUAGCAUAAAGGUAAUGUAAACAAAUUCAGGCUGAGGUUGCUGUCAGAAACACAACAGAUUGCUGAUGGAAACAGAUAACCCUUAUAAUGACCCUGUGUUCUGAUAUUUCAAAAAAUUAUUCAUUAAAAUAUAGUGUUGAUUGCUCCAGAUCCUGUACUAUCUAAGUCAAGCUCUGUACCCUCAGCUAAAAGCACAGUAUUUCACGUUUUAUUCCUCCUGGUAGCCUGCUGUAUUGAGCUACAUAUGCAAACAAUAUUUACUGGGGGCUUGGAAAUUUAUUUUGCUUUUGCCAGAAGUGUCGCACUUUGCACUGCAUGAUUCUGCCUUGGGUGCUCAGCUCCUGCUCAGCUACAGCUACAGAGCAGCUCAGGCUGGUGAUACUAAUGGCCUGGAACUGAUGUUGCUCCUCUGGGUCACUUGAACCAAAUACUGGAAACACACCGGGCUCUUGCUUCCUCCUAUGAGAAGAUCUUUUUCUAUCUCAGUAGAGCAUACUUGGAAAAGCAUACUUGGAAGAGUCAGAUGAAAAUUGUCAUAACAAAGUAAGCAGCUAACUAGAAAGAGGUUUGGGUUUGGUUUUGCAUUUGAUUAUGGUUUGGGGUUUUUAGAGAGGCUUUUUUUCUUUGUUUCUUUGUUUUUCUAAAUUACAUCAUUUUAAGUCUUGCUUGAAAGAGCUUUUCUUUCUUCCUACCACCAAUAGUACACAAGCUUUUGCUAAUGCAUUAUAAUAACUAAGACUGACCCAAAUUACGAAGUUUUGCCUUCUGUGCAGACAAAGCUCUCAAGAAAAACAUGGCCUGUGCUUUUGCUGAAAAAUUAUUGAGGCUGACAGCGUAAGAACCUGGCUUGGCCAUUCAUAUAGCACCAAUUUUUCAAAUUAUUCAAGUACCAGUAACACUAUUGACCCUAUAAAACUUUAGAUAACUAAACAAAGUACAUACAGAGUAUGGUGCCUCUUUCCUGAUGGAGAGAAAGAAUCACUUCCAGAAGAAAACCCACCCAACAUAAGUGUUUGAAGACACUCACCAUCCAGCAGAGUGCCCAGUUUUUCUUCAUUGAGGCAGGGGCCCUCAGUGUACCAAAACUGGUGAUCUUCACAAGUAUUAUUCUCACUCCCCAAAUGCCUAGACAUCUGUAGCACUUGUCUCAGCAUUACUUCUCCAGCUAGCUAAAACACAGACAGAUUUGUGUUAAGCAUACUAGAACCCAUCUGCAGCUAUCUAAAUGAAACAUUUAGAACUGACCAAAGGUUUUCAGAUCUGACCCUAAGCUGAACCUCCAUACCACCCUGAACCAAAGCCUUUUAGAAAAGCUUGAAAUAAAUGUCCCUCCAUUCUAAAACUUCAGGUGUUCAUGUUCCUUCUUCUUUCAAUCAAUCUGAAAUCAGAGGCUUUCACAUGCUAUUGUUGCCUGUCAUACAAGGAAUGGUGUAACCUUGUGAAAAGGGUACUUUAAAAAUCUUGUGGUGCGUAAUUUCCUUGUUAAGCAAGCAUCUCUAGUGAAGGCAGACUGCACAGGAGACAGUGCUGAAGGUUUAAGUCCAUCUUCUAAUAAGUAAAAGUCAAAGUAAAAAAUAAAAAAACAAACCAAACAAACAAAAACAACCCCAAAGACAACAACAAACCCCAAACUCCUCAACAGAAUUUAGCUCAUGUAGCUGGGAAAUAAUGAUGGCUAGUAUUGACCCUAGACUAGGUCAGCUGCAAGAUGUUAAAUGUCAAAUAUCUGUAGGGUUAGACCUACCAACACAUUGAAAUAGUGAGUGAGGAUUUUUGCCAUUUUUAUUUCUUCAGUAGUAAGAAUCUGUCCCCAGACACACAAAACAGAUUAAAAACGUGCACUGAAUGGUCAGAUGGUGGAUAUGCCUACCCUUAUUUCAAUAGGCAAAGAAAGGUCAAAGUACAGCAUAUGCUGUUACGUGCAGCAAAGACACUGCUAUUAAUUAAUCCUCCUGUCUGCAGAUGUGGGUGGAGCAGAGCCCCACUGAUGGGGGUCACCGAGAAGAGCAAGACUGCACAGAGCUGUACGCUUCACCUACUCCUUCCACGCUCUCUUUGCAGCAUGGUAGUUUAAUGGAGCAACUGAGCUGGAAAAAGUCUCCAGACUUACACCCUGAGUAAGCGUGUGUGUAAUUUGGGACCCGAUAAGAUGCAUCCCAGAGUCCUGAGGAAAUUGGUUGAUAUAGUUGCCAAGACAUUCUCCAUGAUAUUUGAGAAGUCAUGGCAGUCAGGUGAAGCUCCUGGCGACUGGAAAAAGGGAAACUUCACACCCAUUUUUAAAAAAGAUAGAAAGGAGGAUCCUGGGGACUACCAACCUUUCAGCCUCACCUCUGUGCCUCAGAAGAUCAUGGAAAAGAUCCUCCUAGAAGCCAUGCUAAGGCACAGGGAGGACAAGGAGGUGAUUCAGGACAGCCAGCAUAGCUUCACCAAGGACAAGUCCUGCCUGACCAACCUAAUGGUCUUCUACAAUGGAGUAACUACAUCAGUGGACAAAGGAAAGGCUAUGGAUGUUGUCUAUUUGUCUAUGACAUUUAGGCUCUAAGCAAUCGGUACAGCCAACAUUUGUCUGGAUGGGGAUCUGAUGUGAUCAAGACAAGCUGGUUUUACAGUGGCCUUUUACUUUGCCCAUUAUUAGGCUGUGUGGAAGCUGGAUUCUCCCCUUAUUUUGUCUUGGUUUUUGGUUUGGGGUGUUUUUUUGCUUUUUUUUUUUUUUUUUCUUUUCUUUUGGUUGGCUGGUUGGUUUUGGUUUUAAAUGUUUCAUAACCUCAAAAGCCCUUUCACAGCAGCCAGUCAACAGAAAAGAGAUCAUUCUCACUGGAGCUUUUUCUAACCCCACAACAUUGCCAGGGAGGUGGCAUGAGAGUGCUCCAGGAACAGGGAUACAGCUCUGAGGUCAUCCAGAGUGUUUUUUUCUUCGUAUUACCUCUAGUUGCCUUUCAGUUUAUAUUUAAACCAUAAUUUUGGUCCCUUGCUGUUCAUUUUGUUAUAAAGUGUUAAUGGUUUCUCUAGAAGUAUAUGUCUUUUAUUUGUAUGUAUUGUCUCAUACUAAGUCUCUUUGAAAUGCUAAAGAAGUGAAUUAUUAGGCUUAAUUAAUGGAAUUAUAAACUUAAUUUCCUUGGUAUUUUUUAAAACCCUAACACUAACCCUAACCCUAAAGACCGUAACCCUAACCCUAAAACCCUAACGCUAACGACCCUAACCCUAAUCCCUAACGCUAAUCCUAACCCUAAUGACCCUAACCCUAAUGAAUUUAACCCUAACCCCUAAUCCUAACGACCUUAACUCUAAUGACCCUAAUCCUAAUGAUCUUAAUCCUAACUCUAACCCUAAAACCCUAACCCUAACAGCCCACAAAGAUGCCCUAAUGCUUUUAUUAUUUUACUUUAUUUUGUUCCGUUUACUGCCUUGUGAUUUUCUGACUUGAUAAAGCUCUUUGGAUACAAA